CACCGGAGAGGGAGCCUGAGAAACGGCUACCACAUCCAAGGAUGGCAGCAGGCGCGCAAAUUACCCAAUCCCGACACGGGGAGGUAGUGACAAUAAAUAACAAUACGGGGUUCUUUAGGAUCUCGUAAUUGGAAUGAGUACAAUUUAAAUCUCUUAACGAGGAACAAUUGGAGGGCAAGUCUGGUGCCAGCAGCCGCGGUAAUUCCAGCUCCAAUAGCGUAUAUUAAAGUUGUUGCAGUUAAAAAGCUCGUAGUUGAAUUUCGGGGUUAGUAGGUUGGUCAUGCCUCUGGUAUGUACUGGUCUCACUGAUUCCUCCUUCCUUAUGAACCGUAAUGCCAUUAAUUUGGUGUUGCGGGGAAUUUGGACUGUUACUUUGAAAAAAUUAGAGUGUUUAAAGCAAGCUAACGCUUGAAUACAUUAGCAUGGAAUAAUGAAAUAGGACGUUCGAUCUUAUUUUGUUGGUUUCUAGGAUUGACGUAAUGAUUAAUAGGGAUAGUUGGGGGCAUUAGUAUUCAAUUGUCAGAGGUGAAAUUCUUGGAUUUAUUGAAGACUAACUACUGCGAAAGCAUUUGCCAAGGAUGUUUUCAUUAAUCAAGAACGAAAGUUAGGGGAUCGAAGACGAUCAGAUACCGUCGUAGUCUUAACCAUAAACUAUGCCGACUAGGGAUCGGAUGAUGUUAAUUUUUUAAUGACUCAUUCGGCGCCUUACGGGAAACC
rnacentral:rRNA from 1 species